UCCUGACCUCAAGUGAUCCUCCUGCCUCAGCCUCCCAGAGUGCUUGGAUUACUGGCGUGAGCCACCACGCCCAGCCGGUUUCUGCUUUUGUUCUCUUGGAGCUCUGAGCCUCCAUCAGCACAAGGACCCGGGGAUGUCUUGUCCACUGGGAGCCUCCAUGCAGCACCUGUCAUGGAGGACCUGCACAAGACACACCUGGUAGCUGCCGGGUUCCCUGACACUCCUCAGGACUGAUGAGCAUCGCCUGAACAAGUGGCAGGAAUGCACAUUCCAGGGAUUGUUCUAGA